UGAACAUGGGUGUAUCUACCAUACACAGGUU
rnacentral:piRNA from 1 species